CAGUGGGGAAUAUUGGACAAUGGGCGAAAGCCUGAUCCAGCAAUGCCGCGUGAGUGAUGAAGGCCUUAGGGUUGUAAAGCUCUUUUACCAGGGAUGAUAAUGACAGUACCUGGAGAAUAAGCUCCGGCUAACUCCGUGCCAGCAGCCGCGGUAAUACGGAGGGAGCUAGCGUUGUUCGGAAUUACUGGGCGUAAAGCGCACGUAGGCGGCUUUUUAAGUCAGGGGUGAAAUCCCGGGGCUCAACCCCGGAACUGCCCUUGAAACUGGAGAGCUAGAAUCUUGGAGAGGCGAGUGGAAUUCCGAGUGUAGAGGUGAAAUUCGUAGAUAUUCGGAAGAACACCAGUGGCGAAGGCGACUCGCUGGACAAGUAUUGACGCUGAGGUGCGAAAGCGUGGGGAGCAAACAGGAUUAGA
rnacentral:rRNA from 1 species